rnacentral:lncRNA from 1 species
GGAAUCGAGUCCCGUAAAUUGCAACGCAUGCCUAAUGUCUAUACGGUGCUAUGUGUGUGUUUGCGUGUCGUUCGGACGACCGAGGUGGGUUUUAGUCUCUUUUUUGGCUUUUUACAUAACUAUUGGUUCAUCGGGCAAACGGGCUGAUAACUCGGCAUCCGUAUAUCAGAAUCGAGUCCCGUAAGUUGCAACGCGUGCUUAAUGUCUAUACGGUGCUAUGUGUGUCUUUGCGUGUCGUUCGAACGACCGAGGCGGG